rnacentral:tRNA from 1 species
GGGGCUAUAGUUCAAUUGGUAGAACGACAGGUUCGCAAUCUGUAAAACGGGGUUCAAAUCCCCGUAGCUCCA